rnacentral:rRNA from 1 species
CCUACGGGAGGCAGCAGUGAGGAAUAUUGGUCAAUGGGCGAGAGCCUGAACCAGCCAAGUCGCGUGAAGGAUGACGGCCCUACGGGUUGUAACCUUCUUUUGUCAGGGAGCAAUUUGGUCCACGCGUGCGCUUAUCGAUAGUCCCUGCAUACAAAGCAUCGGCUAACUCCUUGCCAGCCGCCGCGGUAAUACGUAGGAUGCGAGCGUUCUCCGGAUUUAUUGGGUUAAAGGGGUGCGUAGGCGGGUUAUCAAGUCAGCGGUAAAAUCGUGGAGCUAAACUCAAUACAGCCGUUGAAACUGGUGGUCUUGAGUGGGCGAGAAGUAGGCGGAAUGCGUGGUGUAGCGGUGAAAUGCAUAGAUAUCACGCAGAACUCCGAUUGCGAAGGCAGCAUACCGGAGUGCGACUGACGCUGAAGCACGAAAGCGUGGGUAUCGAACAGGAUUAGAUACCCGAGUAGUC